AUUGAACGCUGGCGGCAGGCUUAACACAUGCAAGUCGAACGGUAACAGGUCUUCGGAUGCUGACGAGUGGCGAACGGGUGAGUAAUACAUCGGAACGUGCCUAGUAGUGGGGGAUAACUACUCGAAAGAGUGGCUAAUACCGCAUGAGAUCUACGGAUGAAAGCAGGGGAUCGCAAGACCUUGUGCUACUAGAGCGGCCGAUGGCAGAUUAGGUAGUUGGUGGGAUAAAAGCUUACCAAGCCGACGAUCUGUAGCUGGUCUGAGAGGACGAUCAGCCACACUGGGACUGAGACACGGCCCAGACUCCUACGGGAGGCAGCAGUGGGGAAUUUUGGACAAUGGGCGAAAGCUUGAUCCAGCAAUGCCGCGUGCAGGAUGAAGGCCUUCGGGUUGUAAACUGCUUUUGUACGGAACGAAAAGCCCUGGGUUAAUACCCUGGGGUCAUGACGGUACCGUAAGAAUAAGCACCGGCUAACUACAUGCCAGCCGCCGCCGUAA
rnacentral:rRNA from 1 species